AUGUCACCUCGAAUGGCCAAAGGGGCUGAACUGCACGAACCGUUCCGUCUCCUCCCACUUUCACACCCAGUCUAUCGUCGCCGACCCGGGGGCGUGCGAGCUCCAAGGUCUCCGGAGGAGCGGGAGGCAGGGAGCCCGUGGUUCGUCGCCCGAGCCCGCGCGUGGCCGGCUCCCCGUGCGCCCCGGGGCGCGGGCCUCGGCCGGCCGCAGCUCCCCAGCCCCCCCGCACAGGCGGCGCGAGGCGGGCGGGAGCAGGGCGCCGGGCUACGAGCGGCUCCGGGGCUCGGGCGGCGGCUGGAAGGCCGGGUUUCUGUAGGCCACCAGGUGCGCGGCGCGGCGCGGCGGGCGCGGGGCCCGGCGCCGGCGGCACAGACACAGCGCGAGCAGCAGGCUGGCGACGAGCAGCAGGCCGCAGGCGGCGCACAGCCCCGCCAGGACGAGCGCGGAGCUGGGCUUGGUGGUGAAGGCGGCGCAGGCCCGCGGCCGGCCCAGGCCCGAGGCCCGCGGCAGGCUCAGGCCCGCGGCGUUGGCGGCCAGGACGCACACGCGGUACGCGGUGGCCGGCGAGAGCCCGUGCAGGGCGUGCUGCCGCGCCGUGGCGCAGAUGCCGGCCACCACCGACUGCGACCGGUUCCCCGGGCCGCCCUCGGCCGAGUAGCGGAUCUGGUAGCCGCGCACCGCCGAGUUGGGGGCGCACCAGCGGACGAGCGCCGACGUGUCGCCGACCUCGGUGACCGCCUGCAGCCGCGGCGGGUCCGGCGCCGUGUCCUCCCCGCUGAGGCCGGGGCACCGGCACCGCCAGCGCCUCUGCAGCUCGGCGCACGGGGUCUGCAGGUGCCUGCAGGGGUGGUAGUCGCAGGGCGCGUCCCGCGGAGGCGCCGCCGCCGGCCCGUGCUGCCCCGCCCCCGCCCCCGCCCCCGCCCCCGCCUCCUCCUCGCUGGAGUCGCCCAGCAGCAAGACUGGAAUGGCGCCCUCGGAGGGACCCGGCUGGGGAGCCCGAGGGGGCGCCUGCGGGCCGCGGGAGGCGGGGGGCAGCCCCGGGGCCUCGGGGACGCCGCGUCCGGCUCCCGCAGGCCGAGCGGGGCGGGCGGUGCUCCGUGGGGCGGCGGCGCGCGGGGCCGGCGGCGCGUGGGCGAAGGGCCCAGGGGGACGCGUGGCCUCGGGGACGGCGGCGCUUCGGGCCCGGGGGCAGGCGGCGGGCAGCCGGGACAGCGGGAGGGGGGCCGCGGAGACGCCGUGGGAUCCCGAGGCUGGUGCGCACGCCGUGUCUGCUGCCCUGGAGGGGACGCCAGCAAGUUAGGAGGUUUCUUCUGACUAAAGGCUGGCUUUCUCCACCUGCCUGGGAACCUUCUGCCUUCCUCAACUACUCUGGGGAGAAGCUCAUGUGCUAG
rnacentral:lncRNA from 1 species